GCGCUUCCGCGCUUCUCACUGUGAUUUUCACAGUGAGAAGACGCCAGCGUCCAUAGGAAAGCAUUGUGAAUGCUUUCCUAUGGACUGGCUGAAUGAGCGCGGCUCCUGCUAUGGAGGAGGAGAGGAGGAGGAGAGUUCCUCACCCCGGGGUGGAGAAAGAGGUAAGUUUAACCCCUUCUACCCCCUAGAGCCUGGCGGGAGGGGGACCCAGAGGGUGGG